rnacentral:misc_RNA from 1 species
GAUGAAGAACGUAGCGAAAUGCGAUAAGUAAUGUGAAUUGCAGAAUUCAGUGAAUCAUCGAAUCUUUGAACGCACAUUGCGCCCGCCAGUAUUCUGGCGGGCAUGCCUGUUCGAGCGUCAUUUCAACCAUCAAGCCCCCCGGCUUGUGUUGGGGACCUGCGGCUGCCGCAGGCCCUGAAAAGCAGUGGCGGGCUCGCUGUCACACCGAGCGUAGUAGCAUACAUCUCGCUCUGGGCGUGCUGCGGGUUCCGGCCGUUAAACCACCUUCAUAACCCAAGGUUGACCUCAGAUCAGGUAGGAAGACCCGCUGAACUUAAGCAUAUCAAUAAGCGGAGGA